rnacentral:rRNA from 1 species
CAGUCGCCACGGGAAUACGGAGGGGGCUAGCGUUGUUCGGAAUUACUGGGCGUAAAGCGCACGUAGGCGGCUUGGUAAGUUAGAGGUGAAAGCCUUGGGCUUAACCUGAGAAUUGCUUUUAAGACUGUCGAGCUAGAAUCCAGAAGAGGGUAGUGGAAUUCCGAGUGUAGAGGUGAAAUUCGUAGAUAUUCGGAAGAACACCAGUGGCGAAGGCGACUACCUGGUCUGGCAUUGACGCUCAUGUGCGAAAGCGUGGGGAGCAAACAGGAUUAGAUACCCCGGUAGUCCCUGUCUCUUAUAC